GAGUUUGAUCCUGGCUCANAUUGAACGCUGGCGGCAUGCCUAACACAUGCAAGUCGAACGGAAACGAUGGAAGCUUGCUUCCAGGCGUCNAGUGGCGGACGGGUGAGUAAUACUUAGGAAUCUGCCCAUUAGUGGGGGACAACUCGGGGAAACUCGAGCUAAUACCGCAUACGCCCUACGGGGGAAAGCGGAGGACCUUUCGGGGCUUCGCGCUAAUGGAUGAGCCUAAGUCGGAUUAGCUAGUUGGUGAGGUAAAGGCUCACCAAGGCGACGAUCCGUAGCUGGUCUGAGAGGACGAUCAGCCACACUGGGACUGAGACACGGCCCAGACUCCUACGGGAGGCAGCAGUGGGGAAUAUUGGACAAUGGGCGCAAGCCUGAUCCAGCAAUGCCGCGUGUGUGAAGAAGGCCUGCGGGUUGUAAAGCACUUUCAGUAGAGAAGAAAAGUUUAGGGUUAAUACCCCUGGAUCUUGACGUUACCUACAGAAGAAGCUCCGGCUAACUCCGUGCCAGCAGCCGCGGUAAUACGGAGGGAGCGAGCGUUAAUCGGAAUUACUGGGCGUAAAGCGCGCGUAGGCGGCUUUGUAAGUCGGAUGUGAAAGCCCUGGGCUCAACCUGGGAAUUGCAUUCGGUACUGCAGAGCUAGAGUAUGGUAGAGGGAAGUGGAAUUUCCGGUGUAGCGGUGAAAUGCGUAGAUAUCGGAAGGAACACCAGUGGCGAAGGCGACUUCCUGGGCCAAUACUGACGCUGAGGUGCGAAAGCGUGGGGAGCAAAACAGGAUUA
rnacentral:rRNA from 1 species